GGUCGUUUCGGCAGCACCUAGGACUAAAAUUGGAAGGAUACAGAGGAGAUUAGCAUGGCCCCCUGUGCAAGGAUGACACGCUACUUUGUGAAGCGUUCCAUAUUUUG